rnacentral:rRNA from 1 species
AUUGAACGCUGGCGGCAUGCCUUACACAUGCAAGUCGAACGGCAGCACGGGAGCAAUCCUGGUGGCGAGUGGCGAACGGGUGAGUAAAGUAUCGGAACGUGCCCAGUCGUGGGGGAUAACGUAGCGAAAGUUACGCUAAUACCGCAUACGAUCUAUGGAUGAAAGCGGGGGAUCGCAAGACCUCGCGCGAUUGGAGCGGCCGAUAUCAGAUUAGGUAGUUGGUGGGGUAAAGGCUCACCAAGCCGACGAUCUGUAGCUGGUCUGAGAGGACGACCAGCCACACUGGGACUGAGACACGGCCCAGACUCCUACGGGAGGCAGCAGUGGGGAAUUUUGGACAAUGGGCGCAAGCCUGAUCCAGCCAUGCCGCGUGCAGGAUGAAGGCCUUCGGGUUGUAAACUGCUUUUGUACGGAACGAAAAGGUUUGGCUUAAUACGUUGAACUCAUGACGGUACCGUAAGAAUAAGCACCGGCUAACUACGUGCCAGCAGCCGCAGUAAUAC